AGCAGCCGCGGUAAUUCCAGCUCCAAUAGCGUAUAUUAAAGUUGUUGCAGUUAAAAAGCUCGUAGUUGAAUUUCGGGAUUAGUGCGCUGGUCAUGCCUUUGGUAUGUACUGGUGUUACUGGUUCCUACCUUCUGAAGAACCGUUAUGUCAUUCAUUUGGUGUGGCGGGGAAUCAGGACUGUUACUUUGAAAAAAUUAGAGUGUUUAAAGCAGGCUCGCGCUUGAAUACAUUAGCAUGGAAUAAUGAAAUAGGACGUUUGACCCUAUUUUGUUGGUUUCUAGGAUCGACGUAAUGAUUAAUAGGGAUAGUUGGGGGCAUUAGUAUUCAAUUGUCAGAGGUGAAAUUCUUGGAUUUAUUGAAGACUAACUACUGCGAAAGCAUUUGCCAAGGAUGUUUUCAUUAAUCAAGAACGAAAGUUAGGGGAUCGAAGACGAUCAGAUACCGUCGUAGUCUUAACCAUAAACUAUGCCGACUAGGGAUCGGAUGAUGUUAUUUUAAUGACUCAUUCGGCGCCUUACGG
rnacentral:rRNA from 1 species